GAACGCACUCCUACGGGAGGCAGCAGUGGGGAAUAUUGCACAAUGGGCGCAAGCCUGAUGCAGCCAUGCCGCGUGUAUGAAGAAGGCCUUCGGGUUGUAAAGUACUUUCAGCAGUGAGGAAGGUGGGUAUGUUAAUAGCAUACUCAUUUGACGUUAGCUGCAGAAGAAGCACCGGCUAACUCCGUGCCAGCAGCCGCGGUAAUACGGAGGGUGCGAGCGUUAAUCGGAAUUACUGGGCGUAAAGCGCAUGCAGGUGGUUUGUUAAGUCAGAUGUGAAAGCCCGGGGCUCAACCUCGGAAUUGCAUUUGAAACUGGCAAACUAGAGUACUGUAGAGGGGGUAGAAUUUCAGGUGUAGCGGUGAAAUGCGUAGAGAUCUGAAGGAAUACCGGUGGCGAAGGCGGCCCCCUGGACAGAUACUGACACUCAGAUGCGAAAGCGUGGGGAGCAAACAGGAUUAGAUACCCUGGUAG
rnacentral:rRNA from 1 species